rnacentral:lncRNA from 1 species
AAAUAAUCAAGGUGAGAAAUAUACCCCACAUCACAACUUAGCAAUAAUUGAUAAAUAUUUAACACGAUUUAUCCAAAGCGGGCAAUUUACCUUGAAACACAAGGAGUGGCUUUUUAUUUUUGUACUCUGCCUCCCCCCCCCCCCCCCCCUUCCCCUCUGCUUUCAGUCAGCUGCAUGGAGACCUCUGACAGCUUAGAAGCAGGAUGGUUCAAGUCUGAUUGUACAGCUCCUGUUUGCCUUGGUGGAUGAACACUUAUUAUCAAUUUUGAGAGCUGUACCAACACUUUACUUGUGUAUGCUGUGUAUCAGGUAUAUACACGUAUACCUAGCUUGGGAUAUAGGUCUCCGAAUGUACUUUAAGUACAGCAGUGAACAUUCCAGGAGUAUUUCAACAUAAUGGGUUUCCCUUGGAAGAGGGCAUGUGCUCACUAAUAGGGUAGGAGGCACUUGGAUGUGCCACCUGUGCCUCACAGUAAUGGGCCAGAUUGCAAUUCCCUCACUGGUACUGAUGAGCAAUUAUUUGUAAAGAUCAACUCCUUAGCCUGGCCCAGUCCAUGUGUCUAUGUCCUUAUGUGGCAGGACUGAGGAGAAGGAAGAGAAAGAUGAAUGAGGCAGGAAGAGAAAGAUGAAUGAGGCAGGACUGCAUUUUUCUGGCUUAAGCAAUACUGACCUCAGAAGGACUGUCAUUCAGACUAGAUGGAGGGUGGAGAAAGAAAAUAUUUUAUUCUUCUUCAUUCCAAUCCUUUUUACUUGAUAAGCCCAUAAUAAAAGUCAAAAUGAAUUCCUGACCA